AAUGAACGCUGGCGGCGCGCCUAAUACAUGCAAGUCGAGCGAGAAGACGUAGCAAUACGUUUGUAAAGCGGCGAACGGGUGAGGAAUACAUGGGUAACCUACCCUCGAGUGGGGAAUAACUAGCCGAAAGGUUAGCUAAUACCGCGUACGCUCCUUGGACUUCGGUUCAGGGAGGAAAGCGAUACCGUGGGUAUCGCGCUCUUGGUUGGGCUCAUGUCCUAUCAGCUUGUUGGUGAGGUAACGGCUCACCAAGGCUUCGACGGGUAGCUGGUCUGAGAGGACGAUCAGCCACACUGGCACUGCGACACGGGCCAGACUCCUACGGGAGGCAGCAGUAAGGAAUAUUGCGCAAUGGGCG
rnacentral:rRNA from 1 species